AGCUGCUGGCCACUGCACAAGAUUAGACUCAAGACUCUUGUGCGUGUGACAGCGGCUAU
rnacentral:pre_miRNA from 1 species